GGCGAACGGGUGAGUAAUAUAUCGGAACGUGCCCGGUCGUGGGGGAUAACGUAGCGAAGCUACGCUAAUACCGCAUACGAUCUACGGAUGAAAAGCGGGGGGAUCGCAAGACCUCGCGCGAUUGGAGCGGCCGAUAUCAGAUUAGGUAGUUGGUGAGGUAAAGGCUCACCAAGCCGACGAUCUGUAGCUGGUCUGAGAGGACGACCCAGCCACACUGGGACUGAGACACGGCCCAGACUCCUACGGGAGGCAGCAGUGGGGAAUUUUGGACAAUGGGCGAAAGCCUGAUCCAGCAAUGCCGCGUGCAGGAAGAAGGCCUUCGGGUUGUAAACUGCUUUUGUACGGAACGAAAAGGCUCUUUCUAAUAAAGAGGGCCCAUGACGGUACCGUAAGAAUAAGCACCGGCUAACUACGUG
rnacentral:rRNA from 1 species